AACGAACGCUGGCGGCAUGCCUAACACAUGCAAGUCGAACGAUACCUUCGGGUCUGGUGGCGCAGGGUUGCGAAACGCGUGGGAACCUGCCCUUAGGUUCGGAAUCACUCCCCGAAAGGAGUGCUAAUACCGGAUAAUGUCUCCUGACCAAAGAUUUAUCGCCUUUGGAUGGGCCCGGCUUGGAUUAGCUAGUUGGUAGGGUAAAAGCGUACCAAGGCGGGGAGACACAGAUUGUCAGAGAGGAAGAUCAGUCACACUGGGACUGAGACACGGUCCAGAAUUCUGCGGGAGGGAGGAGAGCGGAAUAGAGGAAUACGGGGGAAAGGAUGAUCCAGCAAUGCUGGGAGAGUGAUGAAGUACUUAGGGUUGUAAAGCUCGUUUAUCCGGGAUGAUAAUGACAGUACCGUAAGAAUAAGCACCGGCUAACUACGUG
rnacentral:rRNA from 1 species